rnacentral:misc_RNA from 1 species
UUGCAAUUUUGAGAUUUUACAUAAAAUAAAUAAUCUCAAAAUUGCAAAUAUUGCCUAUAAAAUUUGAAUGUUAAUUAGACAUCAAAAUAUCAAGAAACCAUUGAAACAUGCAUGAUUCAUAUGCCUGACAUACCUAAAUCAAUCUGAUGUAUGAAAAUAUAAAUUAUAUCGUUCUUGAAACUGAUGAAGGUGAAUGUGCUGAGUGCAAUGGCUGGACCCAAAACUUUGUUCUCUACCAUUGGUAAUAAAACUAAACUGUCUACUCCGAUUGGUUUUGUCCAUUUCUUGAUAAUUGGUAACCUGUGAGCCCUCUAUCUUGGCGGGGAUUCGGCCUAUAAUAACCAUUUCCUCUUGAUCUGCUGUAGUCUCGGUCACCUCUGUCAAAACUUCGACCACCAAAACGACCCCUUGGAGCAUCUGUUGGGUAGUUCCCCCUGCCUCUACCUCUUCCUCUUCCUGCACGGGAUGGGAUGUUGCUAUUUGGUCUCCGCUCUUCAAUGUAUACUUGCCACCCAGCAACAUGUGCACUACCCUCCUUGACUGCAUUAUGAACACCAGUCAUAUCUUCAAAUUCAACAAAUGCGUAGCAUACACCAACAUCCUUGCGACUUCGAAUGACAACACCAUCAGGUGCAAUUUUGCCAAAAUUCUUGAAUUCCUCUUCAAUUUCAGCUUCAGACACAGUAGUUGGCAAGUUUCUUACAUACACAGACCUUAUUUCAUCUUCAUC